GCCGGAGUGGUGAAACUGGUAGACGCACGGGACUCAAAAUCCCGCGGGAGCAAUCCCAUGUCGGUUCGAUUCCGACCUUCGGCACCA
rnacentral:tRNA from 2 species